UUUUGCAUAUGGCUCACUGCUGUGGGGUCUCAUGUCGGCUCACAGCUGGAUCCCUAGGGUCUCUGUUCCCUUUGAUGCUGUCACUUAAAUCAGCUGGUCUUGGAGCUGGUUUUGUUUGGCUGGUUCUGGUUCUGCUUAGUAGGGGUAUGUCCCUCUAGGCUUUUUGUUUUUGUUUUGUCUAUUCCCUGCAUGAGGGAUGUUCAUGCUUGUUGAUUGUGGGUUCUUGUUCCCUUUAGCGUUCACGGGAGUCUGUUCCUGUUGAUGUUUUGUUCAAGGGAGCCUGUUCCCUCUGCCUGCACUUGUACGACUUUUGUAUUGCUGGUUUCCAGCUUGUAUUGCAAGCUUGUCUUGCUCUUUUUGAUCUAUACAAUUCUUACAUUUGAUCAAAAAAAAAAA
rnacentral:lncRNA from 1 species